UACGUAGGGGGCAAGCGUUGUCCGGAAUCAUUGGGCGUAAAGAGCGUGUAGGCGGCUCGAUAAGUCUGCUGUGAAAGUCCAGGGCUCAACCCUGGAAGGCCGGUGGAAACUGUCGGGCUAGAGUCCGGAAGAGGCGAGUGGAAUUCCCGGUGUAGUGGUGAAAUGCGUAGAUAUCGGGAGGAACACCAGUGGCGAAGGCGACUUCCUGGCCUGUUCUUGACGCUGAGGCGCGAAAGCUAGGGGAGCAAACAGGG
rnacentral:rRNA from 1 species